GCCAAAACCCCUAACUGGGCAGGUGCAGGAAGAGACUGGCACCGGAUGCAAUAACAGACCUUUGUUUUUCCUUCUAACCUACUCAGAAUCUAGCAGCUCUGAACUACAACAGAAGCCUUCUGUUAGGUCAGUCUCCUGGAGGCCAGAUUGUCACCUUAGGAGUCUGUCUGAGAGCUGCCCACCUGUGUCCUGACUGAGCUGCUACUUCCUAACAGCCAGCUCUGCUACCCAUCACCAAGUGGUGCCCUGCCUGACUUCCAACACACUGUGGGUCACUAGAGUUGAAUGGGAAAGAGCAGAGACUGGGGAAGAGGGCACAGCUAGCAACAAGACAUGUCAUCACCCUGUUCUUGCUCAUCUCUGGGUACUGUGUGCUUCAGGAAGCCCAAACAAGGGUGAAGUUCAGCUGAAGUGUCUAACCAGCCUCCUCUCUGAUAUGCAAAAUUAUGAUGACUUGGAAAGCUCAAAGAGAAGUGUCUGGAAUCAGAAUUGCUUGGUGGAAAGGCAAAGCAGGAGGACCCACAUUGGAUUAUAAACCUCUCUGGAAGAAAAUCUUACUCAGGAGGCAAACAGACUUCUUCCCAUGAACACUAGGCUAGAAACAACCCAUUAAACCCAUCAAGUGGAGAAUAGGAAAUGAGAAAGAAGACAAUGGACUCUACAUAGAAAACAUCUAUCUACAAACAUGAGUAAGUGUUUCAAUAAUUGCUGAAGAACAACAAGCCAAUGAAUGCUGCAGGCGAACUGACCUGGGAAAGCUUCCUCUUGGCCAACAUGGAAAUAGGAGGUUCAGAUUGGUGGAGGAAAAGAGGGACACCUCACACUUGCCCAGCAUGAUCAGCAGUAAAAAACACCAUAUGGAGAAGUUCAUGAUCAGGGGAGAGGAAGGUAAAGUAGUGACUGAUAGGAAGUUUUUUUACCUAGUGGGUGACAAAGUUGCUAGGCCCUAAGGAAGAAUAAGAGGCUGAAAGAUGGAGCAUCUCUCCUUAGAAAUUCUAGAGACUGGCAUGGAGGUUGGGAAGUACUUGUGCAGAGGAUAAAACAAAGAUCCUAUUGCAUGAACCUGAGACUGCUGAUUAGCCAUUUAGCUGAUGGACUCAUGAUCUCCGGAAUGUGUGAGUCAGGAGCAAACCUAGCAGUCCUCAGAGGCUGACAAGAUAUGGGAGCAGGGGGUAAGGAGGAGUAAAAUAGCCAUGUCCUGGUUUAAUGAAUUCGAAAUCUAAGGAAUACGGGAUGAAAAAUCAAUUUGGAAGGAAAAUAUAUUAGACUUGAUUUUAGAAAGUAAUGUGGCGACAGAAUAUUUCAGUUAUGUAAUCAUGAGUUGAGCUGGCGCUAUGGAAACAACCCACAGGUGAGGACUGAAACAUGGUCUGAGGGUAUUACGGUCACAAUGUCUUUGGCCAAACCUCGUAGAAGUGAAAAUUCUCUAAGAAAAUGAUUCUGAGUAGGAGGGAUGCAGACUGAGUCUAAAUCUCAGGGCCACAGGUAGGAAAGAAAGAUGGGAAGAUGAGGACCCCACCUGGGUCUCUGGAAGGAGGAUUAAGGGUGUCGUGUUUGUCAAAGUUGCUCAGAAAGUUUUUCUCAAGACAGGCGAUCCAGGUGAAAUGACACUCCUGACAUAGGCAAGGAAGGGCCAAAUGAGAUGGCGUCAAUUUACUUUGAAAGUGCUUUUCCUUCGGAAAAGGGUCACAUGUGUUCAGUAAAGGAUUGUGUAUGGGGAUUAACAAAAGAAUACAAAUAAUCAGCCUGUUGUAAAUACUAUUCCACACAUACAUUUCUCCCAGUGUGUAUGUGUACAUAAAAAUAUAAUUUUAUAGUUAGUAAAUGUGUACAGAUAUGCAGACACAAAUGUGUUAGGAGGUUGUCUGGACAGGCACUGUGAGGCUAAGAUGCUAUAAAGCAAAGCAGACAGGAUACAUUAUUCUGCAAAAGGUGGCACUUGCCAUCAGCUCAUUGCCAUUGGCAGUACAAUGUGUGCUGAGAAGUCAAUCAGAUUUUUGCUUCCAUUUUCUUAUCUGACAUCACCAGAGAGGAACCUGAGAAACCAGUCAUGAUCCUCAGCCACACUCUGAGAUGGCCACUCAGACAUCUAAGGACAAGCCAUCUGUCUAUGCUUAGCUUCUUAGUCGGUGCAGUGGAGUCUAAGGAGGGCGGGUUGAAGCUUCCAGGCCAAUCCUCUAUAUGAUUUGAGGGUUGACUUCACAGAUUUGAGUUGUAUAAAAACACCUGGCCGUGUUCUCACCCAUAGCUGACUCACACAUGGUGAGUGUCAGACUUAAUAGGAUCCAGACUGAGGAGAUUUUUAAAAUAUCUCUAUGCUUUUAAAACAAUCCAUACUGGUUUCAGUUCAGCCUCCUAAUUAGAAUGAAACCUCUUCUACACAUCUGUUUUGCAACCCUGAAUAACAUCCUUUGGUCUUCUACAAUAGAGGAGUCAGUGAGCUCUGAGGUAUGUUGUCCUAUGCUUUGGGUAAAAGUAUUGUUAGAAAGAGACUGGGUGGCCCAGCCUCAUUAGUGUGGCUGUCCCAGAAGCUCCAAGUCCAGGCUAAGAAAAGUGGUCCCUUUGCUUGGUUUAGGUAAUUCCCUGGCUAUUACCAGAGGCUAUGUGAUCCUGAGACCCACGGAUGUGCUAAGAGGACUUUUGGAUUCCAGCCCAGUGUUUUUUAAAAAAAUAUAUGUUUUAAUGCUUUAUAUGGCCCCUACUGCCAAGUCCAAACAAAAUAAAAGCAAGCACAGAAAAUAGAGCCAGAGAAAGAAGAAAAGGGGAGUAAACAAGAAGAGGGAGAAAAGAGAUAAGAGAAAGAACUGAGGGAUAGAAAAAAGGAAAAGUGGGAGGAAAGGGGAAGAAGGGGGAGGAAGGAAGAGAUGGAGAGGAAAGGAAGAAGAAAGGGAGGGAGGAGACUAGGGAGGAGGAUGGGAGGUGAAGGAGGGCAGGAUGCGAGGAGUCCAGGAGGGUAAAGGAUUUGAUUCAAGAGAAACAGAUGGCUGAUCUGGAGGGGGAGGGGAGGCUGUCUGCAGGCACUCAUCUGAACAAAAUCCAACUUCCUACAG
rnacentral:lncRNA from 1 species